UGAGGAUCCUGGCUGCACUUCAGGCCCCAGAGCCGAGUCUUCUGUGAUCCCAGUAAGGAAGAAGAAUGGAGAAACUCCUGGAAGUGUCUUUGAUGAUUCUAUGGCUUCAACUGGCCAGGGUGAACAGCCAACAGGAACAGGAUCAUCAGACCUUAAGUAUCCAGGAGGGUGAAAACACCACCAUGAACUGCAGUUAUAAAACUAGUAUAAACUACUUACAGUGGUAUAAACAAGACUCGGGUAGAGGCCUUGUCCUACUGAUUUUAAUACGUUUAAAUGAAAGAGAGAAAAACAGUGGAAGACUACGAGUCACGCUGAACACCUCCCUCAAAAGCAGUUCAUUGUCCAUCACGGCUUCCCAGACAGCAGACACUGCCACAUACUUCUGUGCAACGGACGCACAGUGUUCACCAAGCACCUGCAGCCUCUCCACAAACUCCCCCAGAGCUGCCUCUUAGCAGCCCUAUAGUGGGUAGCAUUAGUGGUUAUGUCUUCCCAAGAAGGAGAGUCUACAAAGAGCAGACAAGAUGCAAGGUGAACCCUCUCACAUUCAUGAUUUUUUGGGAGGGAAACAUUUUGUACCAGGGCAAAGGGUAUGAACUUUAGAAUGAGAAACUGAAAUGCCAGGUUCAGAUCUGCCAAUCCAGGCUAUAUGGCUUUGGGCACAUCAUCGGCGUAGCAGCCUUCAAUUUCCUUUACUUGAAAA